UGCUGUAAUAAACACCACGGCCGAAAGCAGCUUGGGAAGGAAGGGUUCGUUUAUGUUUACAGGCCGUAUAUACUCCCUCUCUGAGGGAUGUCCAGGCGGGAGCCUGAAGCAGAACCCGAGAGGAGCACUGCUUACUGGUCUGCGACUUACUUUAUGCUAAUUUUCUUAUACAGCCCAGGCACAGCUGACUAGGCGGGGUGCUGCCCACCAUGGCCUAGGCCCUCCCACACCAAUUAUGGAACAAGACAAUUCCUCACAGAUACGGCCAUAAGCCGAUCCGGUUGAGGCAACUCUACUUGAGAUCCCCUCAUUCCAGGUGGUUCUGGGUUAUGUCGACGAUAAAACAGACCCGGCCACGACAAGCAUCUACCACGUGACCAGGGAGGACUCCGAAGCUGUUGACGCACAAUUUCCUGCAGAGCUAUAUCCUCACAGCUCCUCCCUCCACCAAUGUGUGUUUGAAGAAGAUGACUCAGCAGAUGAAGGUGUCAACAAGCCUGAGGACCUGAGUUCAAUCCCUACAACCUACCUGGUGGAAGGAAAGACCGGAUCUGUCCUCUCAUCUCCACAGAUACACUGUAGCACUUGCUCCCGUACCCACCCACAUACAUGUAAAUACAUACAUAAUUUUAAAAAUUCCA